rnacentral:rRNA from 1 species
CGGUCCGUUUGGACAGUCUCGAAGAGUAGUUUGACGUCCUGGCGUACAGGACGAACGCUGGCGGCGCGCCUAACACAUGCAAGUCGAACGGGACUAUGCGAGAUGAAGUUUUCGGAUGGAAUUUUGUAUAGUUUAGUGGCGGACGGGUGAGUAACACGUGAGCAACCUGCCUUCGAGAGGGGAGUAACGGCUGGAAACGGUCGCUAAUACCGCAUAACAUACGGGAGGGACAUCCCUUUUGUAUCAAAGAUUUAUCGCUCGAAGAUGGGCUCGCGUCCGAUUAGGUAGUUGGUGAGGUAACGGCCCACCAAGCCGACGAUCGGUAGCCGGACUGAGAGGUUGAACGGCCACAUUGGGACUGAGACACGGCCCAGACUCCUACGGGAGGCAGCAGUGGGGGAUAUUGCACAAUGGGGGAAACCCUGAUGCAGCGACGCCGCGUGUAGGAAGACAGUCCUCUGGAUUGUAAACUACUGUCCCCAGGGACGAAGAUGACGGUACCUGGGGAGGAAGCUCCGGCUAACUACGUG